AAAACCAUUCUCAAAUGUUAACCAUUUCUCCUUCAAAUUUAGUAACUCUAUUUGUUGAGCUUUAGAAAAUCUUAUAUGCACCUGAAAAACUAUUUUAUAAAUAUUAUUCUUGUUUGACAUUGUUGUUUUUUCAUAUAUGUUUAAUAAAAGGUUGAUGUGCAAGCCAUCCGCGAAAAAGUUUCUUGGCAGAUUUUGAUAAACAAGUUUAAUGAGCAGCAGGUAUCAAUCGCAAGGAAUUUCAUUGCUAAACAUGCUCCGCACAUUCUUCAUUGAAUUAAGCUACUACCACUAAAGAUGGCAGUUGAUGUACCGCAAAAAGGAUUCAGCAAUGGGGAGACACAGAACAUUCACAUGGAAAAAAGAAUCAACAUUUAGCUCUCGUAGGGUUAAACAGUUUCAUCAUGCAGCAGUAGAUCUGAUGUAAUGAUACAAAACAAUUUUUGUACACCAUGAUCACAUAUUGACAAAUUAUGUCCUUGGUUAAUCUCUGCUGCAAUUUUGAA